rnacentral:rRNA from 1 species
UGAGGAAUAUUGGUCAAUGGGCGAAAGCCUGAACCAGCCAAGUCGCGUGAAGGAUUAAGGCCCUACGGGUCGUAAACUUCUUUUGUCAGGGAGCAAGACUCGGGACGUGUCCUGAGUUGGAGAGUACCUGAAGAAAAAGCAUCGGCUAACUCCGUGCCAGCAGCCGCGGUAAUACGGAGGAUGCGAGCGUUAUCCGGAUUUAUUGGGUUUAAAGGGUGCGUAGGCGGGCUUUUAAGUCAGCGGUAAAAUUGCGGUGCUCAACGCCGUAGAGCCGUUGAAACUGGGAGUCUUGAGUGAGCGAGAAGUAAGCGGAAUGCGUGGUGUAGCGGUGAAAUGCAUAGAUAUCACGCAGAACCCCGAUUGCGAAGGCAGCUUACCGGCGCUCAACUGACGCUGAGGCACGAAAGUGCGGGUAUCGAACAGG